AGAAGCUCUAUACAGUCAGCAAAAACAAGACCAGGAGCUGACUGUGGCUCAGACCAUGAGCUCCUUAUUGCCAAAUUCAGACUUAAAUUGAAGAAAGUAGGGAAAACCACUAGACCAUUCAGGUAUGACCUAAAUCAAAUCGCUUAUGAUGAUACAGGGGAAGUGAGAAAUAGAUUUAAGGGCCUAGAUCUGAUAGAUAGAGUGCCUGAUGAGCUAUGGAAUGAGGUUCAUGACAUUGUACAGGAGACAGGGAUCAAGACCAUCCCCAUGGAAAAGAAAUGCAAAAAAGCAAAAUGGCUGUCUGAGGAGGCCUUACAAAUAGCUGUGAAAAGAAGAGAAGUGAAAAGCAAAGGAGAAAAGGAAAGAUAUAAACAUCUGAAUGCAGAGUUCCAAAGAAUAGCAAGAAGAGAUAAGAAAGCCUUCCUCAGCGAUCAAUGCAAAGAAAUAGAGGAAAACAACAGAAUGGGAAAGACUAGAGAUCUCUUCAAGAAAAUUGGAGAUACCAAAGGAACAUUUCAUGCAAAGAUGGGCUCGAUAAAGGACAGAAAUGGUAUGGACCUAACAGAAGCAGAAGAUAUUAAGAAGAGAUGGCAAGAAUACACAGAAGAACUGUACAAAAAAGAUCUUCACGAUCCAGAUAAUCACGAUGGUGUGAUCACUCACCUAGAGCCAGACAUCCUGGAAUGUGAAAUCAAGUGGGCCUUAGAAAGCAUCACUACAAACAAAGCUAGUGGAGGUGAUAGAAUUCCAGUUGAGCUAUUCCAAAUCCUGAAAGAUGAUACUGUGAAAGUGCUGCACUCAAUAUGCCAGCAAAUUUGGAAAACUCAGCAGUGGCCACAGGACCGGAAAAGGUCAGUUUUCAUUCUGAUCCCAAAGAAAGGCAAUGCCAAAGAAUGCUCAAACUACCACACAAUUACACUCAUCUCACACGCUAGGAAAGUAAUGCUCAAAAUUCUCCAAGCCAGGCUUCAGCAAUAUGUGAACCAUGAACUUCCUGAUGUUCAAGCUGGUUUUAGAAAAGGCAGAGGAACCAGAGAUCAAAUUGCCAACAUCCGGUGGAUCAUGGAAA
rnacentral:lncRNA from 1 species